rnacentral:tRNA from 1 species
GGGGGCGUAGCUCUAAUCGGGAGAGCGCUGCGUUCGCAACGCAGAGGUUGGCGGUUCGAAUCCGCUCGCCUCCA